UGUCGACAAUAAUCAAAAAAAAACUAAAAUAAUCAAAAAUGUAUCAUGCGAAUAAUAGCUUAAAAAGAGUCAAAAUAUUUUUAAAAUUUUAUCAUGAAUAGAAAACUGUCAUAUAAACAUUUUGUGAAAAUUCAAAGCAGGUAAUUUUCAAUUUUGAUUUCUGAAGUGUAACUAAAUUCAUUGUCCCACCAGAAAUGAUACUGAAAUUAACAAUUGAAGCAUUUUUACUGCCCCCGAGGAUAAAUGAUGAAGGGAGAGGAACGGUUGGACGAAACACGUUUGUAUGUGUGUCAAGGAUUUGUAGCUAAUAAUCCCAGGUGGUCACCCAUCCGGGAGCUAGCAACACUGGCCGAUACGUACACUCAGAGCAUUUCCGCAGUUGAGUGUAGUAGUGUACUGACCGCGCCACACCAAGUCACAAAUAAUAUAUAAGCUUUGUGGUUACUGAUUACUGAUUUAUUACAAACAGUUUUGUGGUUAUUAAAUUGUUUAAUAUUAUUAAUAUUUAAAAUUAUACAUACUCGUGUAAACUUUUAAAAACAUCUAAAGGUAGAGUAAAUAAAU